rnacentral:rRNA from 1 species
UUUCGCAAUGCCCGAAAGGGUGACGAAGCGACGCCGCGUGUGGGAAGAAGGCCUUCGGGUUGUAAACCACUGUCGGGAGUUUGGAAAUGUAAGGGUGCUAAUAGUAUCCUUGCUUGACUAAGGCUCCGGAGGAAGCCACGGCUAACUCUGUGCCAGCAGCCGCGGUAAUACAGAGGCGGCAAGCGUUGUUCGGAAUUAUUGGGCGUAAAGAGCACGUAGGCGGCCUUGUAAGUCAGUUGUGAAAGCCUUCUGCUUAACGGAAGAACAGCAGCUGAUACUGCAAGGCUAGAGUGCGGAAGGGGAGAGUGGAACUUCUGGUGGAGCGGUGAAAUGCGUAGAUAUCAGAAGGAACACCGGCGGCGAAGGCGACUCUCUGGUCCGUAACUGACGCUGAGUGUGCGAAAGCUAGGGGAGCAAACGGGAUUAGAUACCCCGGUAGUCCUAGCCGUAAACGAUGGGCACUAAGUAGAGGGGUUUUA